UACAGAGGUCUCAAGCGUUGUUCGGAUUCAUUGGGCGUAAAGCGCGCGUAGGCGGCUCGGAAAGUCGGGCGUGAAAUGCCGGGGCUCAACCCCGGGACUGCGUCCGAUACUUCCGAGCUGGAGGUAGGUAGGGGAGAUCGGAAUUCCUGGUGUAGCGGUGAAAUGCGCAGAUAUCAGGAGGAACACCGGUGGCGAAGGCGGAUCUCUGGACCUUACCUGACGCUGAGGCGCGAAAGCUAGGGGAGCGAACAGG
rnacentral:rRNA from 1 species